rnacentral:rRNA from 1 species
CUGCAUUAUUUGACGUUAGCGACAGAAGAAGCACCGGCUAACUCCGUGCCAGCAGCCGCGGUAAUACGGAGGGUGCGAGCGUUAAUCGGAAUUACUGGGCGUAAAGCGCAUGCAGGUGGUUUGUUAAGUCAGAUGUGAAAGCCCGGGGCUCAACCUCGGAAUUGCAUUUGAAACUGGCAGACUAGAGUACUGUAGAGGGGGGUAGAAUUUCAGGUGUAGCGGUGAAAUGCGUAGAGAUCUGAAGGAAUACCGGUGGCGAAGGCGGCCCCCUGGACAGAUACUGACACUCAGAUGCGAAAGCGUGGGGAGCAAACAGGAUUAGAUACCCUGGUAGUCCACGCCGUAAACGAUGUCUACUUGGAGGUUGUGGCCUUGAGCCGUGGCUUUCGGAGCUAACGCGUUAAGUAGACCGCCUGGGGAGUACGGUCGCAAGAUUAAAACUCAAAUGAAUUGACGGGGGCCCGCACAAGCGGUGGAGCAUGUGGUUUAAUUCGAUGCAACGCGAAGAACCUUACCUACUCUUGACAUCCAGAGAACUUUCCAGAGAUGGAUUGGUGCCUUCGGGAACUCUGAGACAGGUGCUGCAUGGCUGUCGUCAGCUCGUGUUGUGAAAUGUUGGGUUAAGUCCCGCAACGAGCGCAACCCUUAUCCUUGUUUGCCAGCGAGUAAUGUCGGGAACUCCAGGGAGACUGCCGGUGAUAAACCGGAGGAAGGUGGGGACGACGUCAAGUCAUCAUGGCCCUUACGAGUAGGGCUACACACGUGCUACAAUGGCGCAUACAGAGGGCGGCCAACUUGCGAGAGUGAGCGAAUCCCAAAAAGUGCGUCGUAGUCCGGAUCGGAGUCUGCAACUCGACUCCGUGAAGUCGGAAUCGCUAGUAAUCGUGGAUCAGAAUGCCACGGUGAAUACGUUCCCGGGCCUUGUACACACCGCCCGUCACACCAUGGGAGUGGGCUGCAAAAGAAGUAGGUAGUUUAACCUUCGGGAGGACGCCUUACCC